rnacentral:rRNA from 1 species
CUUUCCCUCUUUCUUUAGGCCUAACACAUGCAAGUCGAACGGCAGCACAGUAAGAGCUUGCUCUUACGGGUGGCGAGUGGCGGACGGGUGAGGAAUACAUCGGAAUCUACUUUUUCGUGGGGGAUAACGUAGGGAAACUUACGCUAAUACCGCAUACGACCUACGGGUGAAAGCAGGGGAUCUUCGGACCUUGCGCGAUUGAAUGAGCCGAUGUCGGAUUAGCUAGUUGGCGGGGUAAAGGCCCACCAAGGCGACGAUCCGUAGCUGGUCUGAGAGGAUGAUCAGCCACACUGGAACUGGGACACGGUCCAGACUCCUACGGGAGGCAGCAGUGGGGAAUAUUGGACAAUGGGCGCAAGCCUGAUCCAGCCAUACCGCGCGGGUGAAGAAGGCCUUCGGGUUGUAAAGCCCUUUUGUUGGGAAAGAAAAGCAGCAGGUUAAUACCCCGCUGUUCUGACGGUACCCAAAGAAUAAGCACCGGCUAACUUCGUG